UACGUAGGGUGCAAGCGUUGUCCGGAAUUAUUGGGCGUAAAGAGCUCGUAGGCGGUCUGUUGCGUCCGCUGUGAAAACCCAGGGCUUAACCCUGGGCUGGCAGUGGAUACGGGCAGACUAGAGGUAGGUAGGGGAGAAUGGAAUUCCCGGUGUAGCGGUGAAAUGCGCAGAUAUCGGGAGGAACACCGGUGGCGAAGGCGGUUCUCUGGGCCUUACCUGACGCUGAGGAGCGAAAGCGUGGGGAGCGAACAGG
rnacentral:rRNA from 1 species